UGAACCAGGUGGUCACAGUUCAAUUCCCAGUCAGGGCACAUAUGCCCAGGUUUCGGACUCAAUCCUCCAUAGAGGGUGUGCAGGAGGCAGCUGAUCAAUGAUUCUCAACAUUGAUGUUUCCCUCUCUCUUCCUCUCCCUUCUUUUCUGAAAU